GACGAACGCUGGCGGCGUGCCUAAUACAUGCAAGUCGAGCGAACAGAUGAGAAGCUUGCUUCUCUGAUGUUAGCGGCGGACGGGUGAGUAACACGUGGGUAACCUACCUAUAAGACUGGGAUAACUCCGGGAAACCGGGGCUAAUACCGGAUAAUAUUUUGAACCGCAUGGUUCAAUAGUGAAAGACGGUUUCGGCUGUCACUUAUAGAUGGACACGCGCCGUAUUAGCUAGUUGGUAAGGUAACGGCUUACCAAGGCGACGAUACGUAGCCGACCUGAGAGGGUGAUCGGCCACACUGGAACUGAGACACGGUCCAGACUCCUACGGGAGGCAGCAGUAGGGAAUCUUCCGCAAUGGGCGAAAGCCUGACGGAGCAACGCCGCGUGAGUGAUGAAGGUCUUCGGAUCGUAAAACUCUGUUGUUAGGGAAGAACAAAUUUGUUAGCAACUGAACAAGUCUUGACGGUACCUAACCAGAAAGCCACGGCUAACUACGUGCCAGCAGCCGCCGUAA
rnacentral:rRNA from 1 species